GACGUAGGAUGCAAGCGUUAUCCGGAAUUAUUGGGCGUAAAGAGUUCGUAGGUGGUUUGUUAAGUAGGAUGUUAAAUCCCUGAGCUCAACUCAGGAUUGGUAUCCUAAACUGGCAGGCUAGAGACAGGUAGAGGCAAGUAGAAUUCUGUAUGUAGGGGUAAUAUCCGUAGAUAUACAGAGGAAUACCAAAAGCGAAGGCAGCUUGCUGGACCUGUUCUGACACUCAAGAACGAAAGCGUGGGGAGCAAACGGG
rnacentral:rRNA from 1 species